GCUUUGUUAGUAUAGUGGUCUAUGCACCUGGUUAGGAAACUUACGCCGACAGCAGGUUACUGGGUUCGAUUCCCUAGCAAAGCA